UACGAGUGCCUCGAGCGUUAUCCGGAAUCAUUGGGCGUAAAGGGUGUGUAGGUGGUCGCGUUAGUCUCUCGUUAAAUUCUUCGGCUUAACCGGGGGUCUGCGGGGGAAACGGCGCGACUUGAGGAUGCGAGGGGUCUGCGGAACUCAUAGUGUAGCGGUGAAAUGCGUUGAUAUUAUGGGGAACACCAAAAGCGAAGGCAGCAGACUGGAGCACUCCUGACACUGAAACACGAAAGCGUGGGUAGCGAAUGGG
rnacentral:rRNA from 1 species